rnacentral:rRNA from 1 species
UUUUGUAAUAAUUUAAAGUNUAAUCUGCCCACUGAUAUUAUUAAAGGGCUGCAGUAUUUUGACUGUACAAAGGUAGCAUAAUCAUUUGUCUCUUAAUUGGUGACUUGUAUGAAAGAUUGAAUGAAAUAUGAACUGUCUCAAUUUAAUUUAUAAAAUUUAAUUUUUUAGUUAAAAAGCUAAAAUAAGUUUAAAAGACGAGAAGACCCUAUAGAGUUUUAUAAUUAUAUUAAUUAUAAUAAAAUAUAAAUUUUUUAAUUAAAAUUAAUAUAAUUAUUUUGUUGGGGUGACAAAAAAAUUAAAUUAACUUUUUUUAAAAAAUUUACAUUAAUUUAUGAUUUUAUGAUCCAUUUUUAGUGAUUAAAAGAAAAAAUUACCUUAGGGAUAACAGCGUAAUUUUUUUUUUUAGAUCAAAUAAAAAAAAAAGUUUGCGACCUCGAUGUUGGAUUAAGAUAAAAUUUAAAUGCAAAAGUUUAAAAUUUUUGAUCUGUUCGAUCAUUAAAAUCUUACAUGAUCUGAGC